GAUGAACGCUGGCGGCGUGCCUAAUACAUGCAAGUCGAGCGAACGGACGAGAAGCUUGCUUCUCUGAUGUUAGCGGCGGACGGGUGAGUAACACGUGGAUAACCUACCUAUAAGACUGGGAUAACUUCGGGAAACCGGAGCUAAUACCGGAUAAUAUUUUGAACCGCAUGGUUCAAAAGUGAAAGACGGUCUUGCUGUCACUUAUAGAUGGAUCCGCGCUGCAUUAGCUAGUUGGUAAGGUAACGGCUUACCAAGGCAACGAUGCAUAGCCGACCUGAGAGGGUGAUCGGCCACACUGGAACUGAGACACGGUCCAGACUCCUACGGGAGGCAGCAGUAGGGAAUCUUCCGCAAUGGGCGAAAGCCUGACGGAGCAACGCCGCGUGAGUGAUGAAGGUCUUCGGAUCGUAAAACUCUGUUAUUAGGGAAGAACAUAUGUGUAAGUAACUGUGCACAUCUUGACGGUACCUAAUCAGAAAGCCACGGCUAACUACGUGCCAGCAGCCGCGGUAAUACGUAGGUGGCAAGCGUUAUCCGGAAUUAUUGGGCGUAAAGCGCGCGUAGGCGGUUUUUUAAGUCUGAUGUGAAAGCCCACGGCUCAACCGUGGAGGGUCAUUGGAAACUGGAAAACUUGAGUGCAGAAGAGGAAAGUGGAAUUCCAUGUGUAGCGGCGAAAUGCGCAGAGAUAUGGAGGAACACCAGUGGCGAAGGCGACUUUCUGGUCUGUAACUGACGCUGAUGUGCGAAAGCGUGGGGAUCAAACAGGAUUAGAUACCCUGGUAGUCCACGCCGUAAACGAUGAGUGCUAAGUGUUAGGGGGUUUCCGCCCCUUAGUGCUGCAGCUAACGCAUUAAGCACUCCGCCUGGGGAGUACGACCGCAAGGUUGAAACUCAAAGGAAUUGACGGGGACCCGCACAAGCGGUGGAGCAUGUGGUUUAAUUCGAAGCAACGCGAAGAACCUUACCAAAUCUUGACAUCCUUUGACAACUCUAGAGAUAGAGCCUUCCCUUUCGGGGGACAAAGUGACAGGUGGUGCAUGGUUGUCGUCAGCUCGUGUCGUGAGAUGUUGGGUUAAGUCCCGCAACGAGCGCAACCCUUAAGCUUAGUUGCCAUCAUUAAGUUGGGCACUCUAAGUUGACUGCCGGUGACAAACCGGAGGAAGGUGGGGAUGACGUCAAAUCAUCAUGCCCCUUAUGAUUUGGGCUACACACGUGCUACAAUGGACAAUACAAAGGGCAGCGAAACCGCGAGGUCAAGCAAAUCCCAUAAAGUUGUUCUCAGUUCGGAUUGUAGUCUGCAACUCGACUACAUGAAGCUGGAAUCGCUAGUAAUCGUAGAUCAGCAUGCUACGGUGAAUACGUUCCCGGGUCU
rnacentral:rRNA from 1 species